rnacentral:lncRNA from 1 species
CGGGAGCGCGGGGAAACGCAAGGCGGAGAGCCCGGAAGAAUCAUCGGCCAAGAGGCUCAACGGGUCGUGCUUCGACGCGCCGCCGCAGUCGGCUACCGGCUGGCAAGCGGCGGCGUCGGUGCUGGGCGGCCUCAGCCAUCAGAUGCUUCCUCAGUUCUAAGCUGUAAUUGAUUUAACUUAAUCAGCCGUGUAAACGAGCGUGGCGACAUGAAACAAGCUUAGGUUUCAGAAAAUAUGAAACAAUCUUGUACUAUAUGCUAAUAUGCCAUCAAGAAUUCAAGAUAGAUAAAUACUGUGGUGUAGGAUUAAUUAUUCCAGUUAUUCAAGAAGCAUGCAUGUACAUGAUUUUCCCCCUUCUUUACGUAUUCAUUUUAGCAGGUAAAUAUGCAGAGGUAGCCUUUGCUUUUUUAUUUUUCAGCAUGUAAACCAGCAAACUUUCCAAAGUAUGCACGCGCGUUGAAUGUGACCCGGCCCGAUGAACCUUGC